UGAGGAAUAUUGGUCAAUGGACGAGAGUCUGAACCAGCCAAGUAGCGUGCAGGAUGACGGCCCUAUGGGUUGUAAACUGCUUUUGUUUGGGAAUAAUCGACAUUACGUGUAAUGUUUUGCAUGUACCAUUCGAAUAAGGACCGGCUAAUUCCGUGCCAGCAGCCGCGGUAAUACGGAAGGUCCAGGCGUUAUCCGGAUUUAUUGGGUUUAAAGGGAGUGUAGGCGGUUGGUUAAGCGUGUUGUGAAAUGUAGAUGCUCAACAUCUGACUUGCAGCGCGAACUGGCUGACUUGAGUACACACAACGUAGGCGGAAUUCAUGGUGUAGCGGUGAAAUGCUUAGAUAUCAUGAAGAACUUCGAUUGCGAAUGCAGCUUACGGGAGUGUUACUGACGCUUAAGCUCGAAGGUGCGGGUAUCGAACAGG
rnacentral:rRNA from 1 species